AGACUCCGAGCAAAAACUGUUCGGACCGGGGCCCAACAUGACUGGAUCUUAGGAGCAUGUCAUAAUUUGCACAGGAAGCUAAUCCGGCGUUCAUUCGGGUGCAGUAUUCUUGAAAGAAGAUGCCGCCGGAUUUCAAUCAGCGUAAUACAAUCGGAAGGGUAAAUAAGUCGGAAGCAAAGGAUCAUCAAUAUCUUUAACGAUUUUUGCUGGAACAACUUCAAUGCGGUGCGGAAAAAUUACAAGGAGAAAAGAAUCUAUGGUUUGAAAAACCCUAAGAUAUAAUUUCGAUGGAGCUAAUCAGCCGGAUUCCCGUUGAGUUAAGAGCAGGCUAAGAGAAAAGGAAACUGCGUGCGACAUCAACAGCGAUCGGUGAGUGCCGGAUUAUAUCCAAGAUUGGAUGGAUUUAUCGAAGGAGGAGACAGACACGGAUUUGUUCAAGAAUGAAGGUUUGCAACGGAAACAAGCACGUGGGAGCAAAACGGAGUGCUGUUAUUCUCGUAUCAAGAGUUAAUUCUCUAGCCGAUGCUGCUGCUGGAAUACAAUCGAAGAUUUGGAUUUGAAGGAUAUUUUCCUCCGUUCUUGUGUCUGGUGCGUUUGAUGUCUGUAUGUUCCUGAGGCCCGGAAUUGCAUUCCGUCAAACUUGGUUCAUUGAUUUGUCGUCAAGCCUGUGACCCGAGACCUGCUGCUGUCGACAUGUGAUUCACCAUUCGGAUCUGAUACAUAUUCUGCACUGUGUUGAUGCUGCUACCGUGCUACCAAAAUUAUUUCGGUCUUGGAUUCGGUAUUACAUGGAGCCAUUCUUCCAGUCACUUGUGUUCAGGGACGAGAACGGUUGACAUUUCUUUUUAUCAUUCAUUCUGCCACGCAGUCACAGAAAAACAAAACCACGGCAGCCGCAGCAGCAGCCACGACCAAGCAGACGACAGUCAGCACAUGAUUUUAUUAUUUUCUCUCCCUUUUCUCUAAUGUUUCUGUACGCUCAUUUCACGACGUAUGACUGUUUUAGGUGGUAAAUGAUUAUUUCAUUAUUCCUUGGUCGUUUUAGAGACUAGAACUAAUGAAUUAGUACCAACGGCUAGCAUUCUUUCUAGGCUUUGCACCACAGGCAAUUAAACUCGAUUUUGUUCCUUGUUCGCGCUGCGCACGAACCAAAACAAAAAAAUCUCAUGCAAAUGCUGACCGCACCGACGGCUCGACUAUCACGCAGCAGCAAAAAAACAGUUUGCCUCAUCGACAAAAAAAUGUCACAAUGAGGCGUACAUUUUUUUUUGAAAACGGUUUCGGUUUGUGCGGGGUGUGAAAUUUGACCGGAUAAAAUGUAAACAUUCGCAUAAUCACAGUGUUUUACUGUACAUUUCCCAACACUGCUUGUGUUUCAAUUGUUGGGUAACUUUUUUCUGUUACUAAGGAAACGCCAACAUAAUUUAAAAAAGCUAAUGAAAUUUUAUACAUGAUUUUAUUAAAUUAAUAAAAUAAUAUGAUACG